rnacentral:rRNA from 1 species
UACGAAGGGGGCUAGCGUUGUUCGGAAUUACUGGGCGUAAAGCGCGCGCAGGCGGCUAUCCAAGUCAGUGGUGAAAGCCCGGAGCUCAACUCCGGAACUGCCAUUGAAACUGUUUAGCUUGAGUAUGAGAGAGGUGAGUGGAAUUCCCAGUGUAGAGGUGAAAUUCGUAGAUAUUGGGAAGAACACCGGUGGCGAAGGCGGCUCACUGGCGCAUUACUGACGCUCAGGCGCGACAGCGUGGGGAUCAAACAGG